rnacentral:rRNA from 1 species
UACGGAGGGUGCGAGCGUUGUCCGGAAUCACUGGGCGUAAAGGGCGCGUAGGCGGCCUGAUAAGUAGGGGGUGAAAUCCUGCGGCUUAACCGCAGGGCUGCCUUCUAAACUGUCAGGCUGGAGCAUAGUAGAGGCAGGUGGAAUUCCCGGUGUAGCGGUGGAAUGCGUAGAGAUCGGGAAGAACAUCAGUGGCGAAGGCGGCCUGCUGGGCUGUUGCUGACGCUGAGGCGCGACAGCGUGGGGAGCAAACAGG